AUUGAACGCUGGCGGCAUGCUUUACACAUGCAAGUCGAACGGUAACAGGUUAAGCUGACGAGUGGCGAACGGGUGAGUAAUGCAUCGGAACGUGCCCGAUCGUGGGGGAUAACGCAGCGAAAGCUGCGCUAAUACCGCAUACGAUCUGAGGAUGAAAGCGGGGGACCGUAAGGCCUCGCGCGAUCGGAGCGGCCGAUGUCAGCUUAGGUAGUUGGUGGGGUAAAGGCUCACCAAGCCGACGAUCUGUAGCUGGUCUGAGAGGACGACCAGCCACACUGGGACUGAGACACGGCCCAGACUCCUACGGGAGGCAGCAGUGGGGAAUUUUGGAAAAUGGGCGAAAGCCUGAUCCAGCAAUGCCGCGUGCAGGAAGAAGGCCUUCGGGUUGUAAACCGCUUUUGUACGGAGCGAAAAGGCUCUCUCUAAUACAGGGGGCUCAUGACGGUACCGUAAGAAUAAGCACCGGCUAACUACGUGCCAGCCGCCGCCGUAAGAC
rnacentral:rRNA from 1 species